GAUGAACGCUGGCGGCGUGCCUAAUACAUGCAAGUAGAACGCUGAAGGAAGGAGCUUGCUCUUUCCGGAUGAGUUGCGAACGGGUGAGUAACGCGUAGGUAACCUGCCAGGUAGCGGGGGAUAACUAUUGGAAACGAUAGCUAAUACCGCAUAACAGUAGAUAUUGCAUGAUAUCUGCUUGAAAGGGGCAAUUGCUCCACUACCAGAUGGACCUGCGUUGUAUUAGCUAGUUGGUGAGGUAACGGCUCACCAAGGCGACGAUACAUAGCCGACCUGAGAGGGUGAUCGGCCACACUGGGACUGAGACACGGCCCAGACUCCUACGGGAGGCAGCAGUAGGGAAUCUUCGGCAAUGGGGGGAACCCUGACCGAGCAACGCCGCGUGAGUGAAGAAGGUUUUCGGAUCGUAAAGCUCUGUUGUAAGAGAAGAACGAGUGUGAGAGUGGAAAGUUCACACUGUGACG
rnacentral:rRNA from 1 species